AAAAAGACUAUGAUGCGGAAAAAGACCGUAAUUUGAGGUGCAGAGAGCCGGCGGGCGGUGAAAGCCGGUACAGGAAUUACGGUGCAUAGCUCUCCGCGGAGUUGCCGCUCUGAAAACUUUGGAUAGGAGCGGACGUGUAACGGCGUUAUUCGUUAAGGCAUUUGUUGAUGCUAAAGGGCGGAUCUUUCCGCUGAAGUAGGGUGGUACCGUGUAGAAUUUUCUACGCCCCUAUA
rnacentral:ncRNA from 1 species